rnacentral:rRNA from 1 species
GAUGAACGCUGGCGGCGUGCUUAAAACAUGCAAGUCGAACGGAAAGGCUCCUGCUUGCAGGGGUACUCGAGUGGCGAACGGGUGAGUAACACGUGGGUGAUCUGCCCUGCACUUCGGGAUAAGCCUGGGAAACUGGGUCUAAUACCGGAUAGGACCACAUUUUGGAUGGUGUGGUGGAAAGUUUUUCGGUGUGGGAUGAGCUCGCGGCCUAUCAGCUUGUUGGUGGGGUAAUGGCCUACCAAGGCGUCGACGGGUAGCCGGCCUGAGAGGGUGUACGGCCACAUUGGGACUGAGAUACGGCCCAGACUCCUACGGGAGGCAGCAGUGGGGAAUAUUGCACAAUGGGCGCAAGCCUGAUGCAGCGACGCCGCGUGGGGGAUGACGGCCUUCGGGUUGUAAACUCCUUUCGCUAGGGACGAAGCGCAAGUGACGGUACCUGGAGAAGAAGCACCGGCUAACUACGUG